AGCGAACGCUGGCGGCAGGCUUAACACAUGCAAGUCGAGCGGGCAUAGCAAUAUGUCAGCGGCAGACGGGUGAGUAACGCGUGGGAACGUACUUUUUGGUUCGGAACAACUGAGGGAAACUUCAGCUAAUACCGGAUAAGCCCUUACGGGGAAAGAUUUAUCGCCGAAAGAUCGGCCCGCGUCUGAUUAGCUAGUUGGUGAGGUAAUGGCUCACCAAGGCGACGAUCAGUAGCUGGUCUGAGAGGAUGAUCAGCCACAUUGGGACUGAGACACGGCCCAAACUCCUACGGGAGGCAGCAGUGGGGAAUAUUGGACAAUGGGCGCAAGCCUGAUCCAGCCAUGCCGCGUGAGUGAUGAAGGCCCUAGGGUUGUAAAGCUCUUUUGUGCGGGAAGAUAAUGACGGUACCGCAAGAAUAAGCCCCGGCUAACUUCGUGCCAGCAGCCGCCGUAA
rnacentral:rRNA from 1 species